rnacentral:rRNA from 1 species
GAUGAACGCUGGCGGCGUGCUUAACACAUGCAAGUCGAGCGAAGCAGUUAAGUUGAUUUCUUCGGAUUGAUUCUUAAUUGACUGAGCGGCGGACGGGUGAGUAACGCGUGGGUGACCUGCCCCAUACCGGGGGAUAACAGCUGGAAACGGCUGCUAAUACCGCAUAAGCGCACAGAGCUGCAUGGCUCGGUGUGAAAAACUCCGGUGGUAUGGGAUGGGCCCGCGUCUGAUUAGGCAGUUGGCGGGGUAACGGCCCACCAAACCGACGAUCAGUAGCCGGCCUGAGAGGGCGACCGGCCACAUUGGGACUGAGACACGGCCCAAACUCCUACGGGAGGCAGCAGUGGGGAAUAUUGCACAAUGGGGGAAACCCUGAUGCAGCGACGCCGCGUGAGUGAAGAAGUAUUUCGGUAUGUAAAGCUCUAUCAGCAGGGAAGAUAAUGACGGUACCUGACUAAGAAGCCCCGGCUAACUACGUGCCAGCAGCCGCGGUAAUACGUAGGGGGCAAGCGUUAUCCGGAUUUACUGGGUGUAAAGGGAGCGUAGACGGCAAGGCAAGUCUGAUGUGAAAACCCAGGGCUUAACCCUGGGACUGCAUUGGAAACUGUCUGGCUCGAGUGCCGGAGAGGUAAGCGGAAUUCCUAGUGUAGCGGUGAAAUGCGUAGAUAUUAGGAAGAGCACCAGUGGCGAAGGCGGCUUACUGGACGGUAACUGACGUUGAGGCUCGAAAGCGUGGGGAGCAAACAGGAUUAGAUACCCUGGUAGUCCACGCCGUA